UACGGGGGGGGCAAGCGUUGUUCGGAAUUACUGGGCGUAAAGGGCUCGUAGGUGGCCAACUAAGUCAUACGUGAAAUCCCUCGGCUUAACCGGGGAACUGCGUCUGAUACUGGAUGGCUUGAGUUUGGGAGAGGGAUGCGGAAUUCCAGGUGUAGCGGUGAAAUGCGUAGAUAUCGGGAGGAACACCUAUUGCGAAGGCAGCUCGCUGGGACGUAACUGACGCUGAGACGCGAAAGCGUGGGGAGCAAACAGG
rnacentral:rRNA from 1 species